rfam:Bacteroides caecimuris strain I48, complete genome.
AUAGCGGACAAGCUACAGGGGAUUUUGCUUCAAAUGAUAAUAAAUCCAAAGAAUUUUCAAAAAGAUGUUAUAUGACAUGUUUUAUAAUUUGGAUAGUAUCAGUAAAACCGCCUAUAUUUGCACCGUUAUCCUGAAAACAAUCUUUUUACCUUAAAAAAAACUAAUACCUAUUGAAAACUGAAAAAUGGAGCUUUGUGAAAAGCCCCAUUUUUU